rnacentral:rRNA from 1 species
UACGUAGGAUGCAAGCGUUGUCCGGAUUUAUUGGGCGUAAAGAGUUCGUAGGUGGUUCGUUAAGUCUGGUGUUAAAGACCGGGGCCCAACCUCGGGAUCGCAUUGGAUACUGGCGGACUGGAGUGCAGUAGAGGCAAGCGGAAUUCCCAGUGUAGCGGUGAAAUGCGUAGAUAUCUGGAGGAACACCGGUGGCGAAGGCGGCAUCCUGGACCGAUACUGACGCUGAGGAGCGAAAGCCAGGGGAGCCAAAGCGGG